rnacentral:misc_RNA from 1 species
GAAAUGCGAUAAGUAGUGUGAAUUGCAGAAUUCAGUGAAUCAUCGAAUCUUUGAACGCACAUUGCGCCCUUUGGUAUUCCUUAGGGCAUGCCUGUUCGAGCGUCAUCUAAACCUUCAAGCCCUGCUUGGUGUUGGGUGCCUGUCCCGCCUCCGCGCGCGGACUCACCUCAAAUCCAUUGGCGGCCCCCGCGUCGGCCACGAGCGCAGCAGAAACGCGAACUCGUGAGCCCGUCCGGGCGACUCCCAGAAGCUACACCCACCCAGUUUGACCUCGGAUCAGGUAGGGAUACCCGCUGAACUUAAGC